rnacentral:rRNA from 1 species
UCUGGAAACCAUAGCAUUGUGGCCCCACCUGAUCCCAUCCCGAACUCAGAAGUGAAACGCAAUCGCGCCGA